rnacentral:rRNA from 1 species
GAUGAACGCUGGCGGCGUGCCUAACACAUGCAAGUCGAACGGAGUCCAGCCUUAGAGACCUUCGGGUCAAAGAGGGGAAGACUGAGUGGCGGACGGGUGAGUAACACGUGGGCAACCUGGCUCAUAGAGGGGGAUAACAGAGAGAAAUUUCUGCUAAUACCGCAUAAGCACACACUGCCGCAUGGCAGAGGGUGAAAAGAGAAUCGCUAUGAGAUGGACCCGCGUCUGAUUAGCCAGUUGGCAGGGUAAGAGCCUACCAAAGCGACGAUCAGUAGCCGAUCUGAGAGGAUGAACGGCCACAUUGGGACUGAGACACGGCCCAAACUCCUACGGGAGGCAGCAGUGGGGGAUAUUGCACAAUGGGGGGAACCCUGAUGCAGCGACGCCGCGUGAGUGAAGAAGUAUUUCGGUAUGUAAAGCUCUAUCAGCAGGGAAGAUAA